rnacentral:rRNA from 1 species
UACGUAGGGACCAAGCGUUGUUCGGAUUUACUGGGCGUAAAGGGUGCGUAGGCGGCGUGUCAAGUCAGUUGUGAAAUCUCCGAGCUUAACUCGGAACGGUCAACUGAUACUGUCAUGCUAGAGUGCAGAAGGGGCAAUCGGAAUUCUUGGUGUAGCGGUGAAAUGCGUAGAUAUCAAGAGGAACACCUGAGGUGAAGACGGGUUGCUGGGCUGACACUGACGCUGAAGCACGAAAGCGUGGGGAGCGAACAGG